UACGUAGGGGGCCAGCGUUGUCCGGAAUCAUUGGGCGUAAAGCGCGCGUAGGCGGCCAGAUAAGUCCGGUGUGAAAGUCAAAGGCUCAACCUUUGAAUGCCGCUGGAAACUGCCUGGCUUGAGUCCGGAAGGGGCGAGUGGAAUUCCUGGUGUAGCGGUGAAAUGCGCAGAUAUCAGGAGGAACACCAAUGGCGAAGGCGGCUCGCUGGAACGGUACUGACGCUGAGGCGCGAAAGCGUGGGGAGCGAACAGG
rnacentral:rRNA from 1 species